rnacentral:lncRNA from 1 species
GGUAGAUCCUUUUGCCCAUUUUUAAUUCAGUUAUUUGUCUUGUUAUAAUUGCAUUGUAAUAGUUACUCUGUUUUUCCAAGUUUACAGGCCCUGUAACUCCUGGCACAGUUGGUUUUAUUUGAUGAAGGAAAGAAUCCCCUUGCUCCCAGCAAGCCACCUUCUUCUGGCUAUACAUUUGCCAACACAAAGUCCCUCCAUUUAUAAACAAGGAUCCCCAUGGUAAAUUUAAGCUGGGGUUUCGGUCUAAACAAAAAUUUACACCUGGAGAUGAAUCAACCUACUUUACAUUGUCAGAAAGUGAAAAGCUAUGCAGCUCACUACAUUUCCCCCGUUUGCACUAGAUGCCAGAGAACUUGGAGUUAAUUACUUCACUGCCCCAAAGUGCUUUAGAUCUACUCAACUAAAGUGCAUUUCAUUUGCUUAAAAUGGGAUCUGAUUUGUUUUAGAUGUAAAUGCCUCUUUCCCUGUAUAUUUUAUUCUUUAAGGCAUCUCAGUUCCUUUCAGAAACAGACAUGACAAAUCUUUGAAAUGAAAAUACUGGGAUAAAUGAAAAAUGUACUUAAAGUUCUGUAUCUAUUAAAGAAAAAGUCACUUUUUGUUCCCUUUAUACCAUGGAAAGUGAGCAGUUUCCCUGAGGAUGAAGUCUAAAGCUACCUGUGGUGUGUUAAAUCAUCGAGGUCCAACUGUCUUCACAAACAAAAAAAGAAGCCAUAAAGUCUUUCAGAAUGUGAGAAGAGCGAAGUGUCCCGCCAAGAAUUACCAGGUCAAUAGAGCCAUCAAUUUUGGUGAAGAAAGGAAAAGACAAGCACAGUUAUUAACCAUCCAGUCUGCACUUGGCACUGGGCCUGGCAAAAACAUACAAUAUUUCACUCUUCCUAUUUCACAGAAAAAAAAAAAUCAAGGCCUUUAUAAGUUUGACAGUAUGCUGAAAGUUGCACAUCUCUGCCUAGAGGAGCAGGAAGCCAAAGCCAGGUGCUCCGCCUCCCAAGACCUCCUCACCUCUCUGUCCCAACAGCUUGCACUGAAACACAGCAGACUAACCUGGAGGUGUUCUUACCGGAGUGAAGCUAUUAGAAAUUAGGAACACCAAUUUUUAAAAUAUACAAGUCACAUGGGCACAAU